CUGGUUGAAGCUGCCAGCCUGAUCUUAACUUUUCUCUUUUAUUAGGAAAAGAUCAGAUCAUGUGGUAGCCUUCACCUAGU
rnacentral:pre_miRNA from 1 species